CAUCACAUCCGACUAAAAAAAUGACCAGGGAAACAGAAGGCUGACAGACAUAUUCAUAGAAAAUAUGAAAAAGCCCUGCCUGUUGCCGUGUUGGAACUUGUAUUGACCAUCUUUGGGACAAGGGAAAUUAACAUAGAUUGUAAAUCUAAGGACUCUGGAUUGACGAACUUGAAGAGCAGAAGAUGCAUUCCAUGACUCUUAUAUGAUAUAGAAGACAAAGAAGAGCUCUUGAGAAUGGAAAAAAAACUGCGAGGUUUACAGUCAAUGAACACACCUCACGACACAAGUCCAUCCUGAUUCAGUAAACUAUUCUUCUAAGGAAACACCAUGACUUAGUUAAGAUCAAGUUUUGGUGUCAGAAGACUAAUGUAACUAAAACAUUGCAAAAUUAACCUGCAAGUGUCUUAUGUGAGCCUACUGAAUAAGGAUUCAUUACUGAACAGUUGAAGGAAAAUCACUAUUAUAAUGAUUUUUAAAAAAAGAUGAUUGUGUUGUUUGGAUAACAUUGUGAUCCAUGUUUGUUGAAUAAACAACUUUGC